GACGAACGCUGGCGGCGUGCUUAACACAUGCAAGUCGAACGGUGACCCAGGGCUUGCCCUGGUGAUCAGUGGCGAACGGGUGAGUAACACGUGGGCAACCUGCCCCUGACUUCGGGAUAACUCCUCGAAAGAGGAGCUAAUACCGGAUACGACCACUUCGGACAUCCGAUGGUGGUGGAAAGUUUUUCGGUCAGGGAUGGGCCCGCGGCCUAUCAGCUAGUUGGUGGGGUAAUGGCCUACCAAGGCGACGACGGGUAGCCGGCCUGAGAGGGCGACCGGCCACACUGGGACUGAGACACGGCCCAGACUCCUACGGGAGGCAGCAGUGGGGAAUAUUGCGCAAUGGGCGAAAGCCUGACGCAGCGACGCCGCGUGAGGGAUGAAGGCCUUCGGGUUGUAACCUCUUCUAGCAGGACGAAGCGAAAGUGACGGUACCUGCAGAAGAAGCACCGGCUAACUACGUAGCCAGCAGCCGCGGUAA
rnacentral:rRNA from 1 species